UGCGUAGGGGGCAAGCGUUAUCCGGAUUUACUGGGUGUAAAGGGAGCGUAGACGGCAUGGCAAGUCAGAUGUGAAAGCCCGGGGCUCAACCCCGGGACUGCAUUUGAAACUGUCAGGCUGGAGUGCAGGAGAGGUAAGCGGAAUUCCUAGUGUAGCGGUGAAAUGCGUAGAUAUUAGGAGGAACACCAGUGGCGAAGGCGGCUUACUGGACUGUAACUGACGUUGAGGCUCGAAAGCGUGGGGAGCAAACAGG
rnacentral:rRNA from 1 species